UCAGUUGAGUGGCAUAGGUAGGAGUGUUUAUGUAAUAGAGUUAUUCAUAUUGGGCUGAGAAAACUUACACUUGUUUGAACUGCUUUCUGGGAAGAGAGAAAAGAAGGGGAGGGAAGCCCCUGUCGGCUAGAAACUGACUGAACAAGAGCAAAGGUAUGAUUAUAGGACCUCUAUUCCAUCUAAUGGUACACUAAAAAAAGAUAACAAGUUUCUAAAAACAAUUCUGAUCUUGGAGUCAAGUUUAGUUACUUGGAGAUGAGGAACUGGAAUAAAUGAGAACAAACUCAGGAAAGAUGAGACAGCAGAGAGCAGACAGUUUAGAAAGAAGAAAACAUUUUCACUUUGUUUCCUUGCGGGGCUUCCAUCAGGAAUCACUAUGCCUAUUUCAUCUUCUGAUUGGUUGGAUUGCAAUUAAAUGGUGGUGCCUAUCUUAAACCCCUGAAUCAAGCAUUGAAAGACUUUCGAGAUGGACUUUUGAAAGAGUUUUUGAGGGAAUUGUAAUGCUGACUGUACUGACCUGCAGAAGAUGCUGUGACUGGAUCUGGAAGGUGGAUACUGUUCCCUCCGGACAGCUGCCAACGCAAGAAUACGACCAUAAAACAAAGGGAAAUCAAAGAUCUGUACAGGGAAAGUUAAGACACUUUGAAGUGAACUAUGUUGCCUUCUGCUGUAAGGUUUCAGGUGAUGGCUUUAAAGUUUAAAGGGACCAGCAUCACUCUUUGAUUCUGUGCUGGGAAGCUGAGCUCAGCACACCUCUCUCUUGGGUAACAGGGUAUACUUACUCCCCAACAUGGAGCCACUGGGAGAUUGCACAGCCACUGCUGAAACAGGAGGUGGUGUUAAUUUUGAAAAUGAUCCAUGCUGUAAUGUCAUGAACCAGGAAGCUGGAAUCCUUCACCAGCUCUUCAUGCAAAUAUUUGGCUGCAGCUUGAGCUAAAGGACUUGGAAGGAGUGGGUUUUAAAAACUCUGCUUCAUUGAAGAGCUCUCAUUAACCCCAUUCCUCCCCCGGAAUGGUCUGUUUGUCUGCCUCCCCACCUUAUCUCCCUCAGCUUCUUAGAGGUGUGCUUCAACCAUUGAGCAAGUUGGCGAUCAUCUCUGUUAAACCGGAAGAGUCUACACCAAGAAGCAGGCAUACAUUAUCCCCUGGUGUCUGCCAUCCUUGCCUACUGAGCAUACCUUCACAACUUUCCUGGAAUUCCAGGUCCUUCUGAUGGUUCCCAGGAGGGAUUUUACAUCUGGCUCCUGUAAUUAAAUCAUCUCUCUGCGUUCCUCCUCCUGCCGGUGAGGGCAAGGGUGGAUAUAAUAUUCAAGGAAGCAAAGGAGAGAGCAAGCUUUGCUCUGCAAGGCACUGGUUUGGUAGUACUGCUUUAUUAUAUUUCUUGGGGGCGAAUUCAGAAAAACUGAGAUAAGUCAAAUCUCCCUAGGGAACAGAUACUGGUCAGAUACACAAGUGAAAUAUUUAACCCUUGCCUUCCUUCCUGCAGCUAGCUAUCAGGGGAACAGUGACCAAACCAACCUGUAAGAGGCCAGCAGCAAUAAAAUCGCCAUGCCCAGUGAGACUUCUCCAGCCACAGCUGAAGCAGAAUUCUACCAUGUACCAAAGCUCCAUAAUGAAAGAUUACAUUCUGUUAUGAACAUCUUGAUGAUUUUUUUUUCUCCAGAAGCAUUUCCCAGUUCCUGGUUUUAUUAAUUUUAUAAUUAUCUCUGAAUUGAAGGGGUUGAUGGUUGAGGCUACCAGACUCCUGCUCAGCACAGCUGGAUCUGCAGAAAGGUGAAUUUAGGGAGCCAAUAGGUGGGGAGUUUUUUGUAUUAAGAAUAAGACCUUGGUUGUACUUUUAACUCUACCGUCAGUAACUGCAAGGCUUUGAACUUCAGCUGUAAUAGAGGCAUACAGAUCCUUGACCUUACUUACCUCCCCUGAUUAUUAUAAGAACUAAAUGAAAUAAUGAAUGUGCAAAAAUGCUUUAAAAGAACCACUGUAAAAUCCUCUACAAGUUGAAGUUUUUUUGUUAGCUGAAAUUCUGCAUAUGGAGGUACUAACUUCUCCAGCAAAUGUAAAAUUUGUGCUGUUUGUACACUCUUCACAGCAAGCUCACACCUGAACUCUAAACUCUGAGCAAAGGGUGUGGAUGAACAUUACUGAAUAGCUGGCUUUCAAGCUUUGGUUGUAAUUUUAUUGUAGUUGUUUCUCACAAAUAAUAAUGAUAACUAACAUUAACUGAGCACUUAAUAUGUGGAAAGCACUCUUCUAAGUGCUUUAUA